GAUGAACGCUAGCUACAGGCUUAACACAUGCAAGUCGAGGGGCAGCAUGGUCUUAGCUUGCUAAGGCCGAUGGCGACCGGCGCACGGGUGAGUAACACGUAUCCAACCUGCCGUCUACUCUUGGACAGCCUUCUGAAAGGAAGAUUAAUACAAGAUGGCAUCAUGAGUCCGCAUGUUCACAUGAUUAAAGGUGUUCCGGUAGACGAUGGGGAUGCGUUCCAUUAGAUAGUAGGCGGGGUAACGGCCCACCUAGUCUUCGAUGGAUAGGGGUUCUGAGAGGAAGGUCGGCCACAUUGGAACUGAGACACGGUCCAA
rnacentral:rRNA from 1 species